rnacentral:rRNA from 1 species
AAGACGGAGGGUGCAAGCGUUGUUCGGAAUUACUGGGCGUAAAGGGCGCGUAGGCGGCCUGCUAAGUCCGGUGUGAACGCCCCUGGCUCAACUGGGGAAGGGCGUCGGAUACUGACAGGCUAGAGUACCGGAGAGGAGGGUGGAAUUCCUGGUGUAGCGGUGAAAUGCGUAGAUAUCAGGAGGAACACCGGUGGCGAAGGCGGCCCUCUGGACGAGUACUGACGCUGAGGCGCGACAGCGUGGGGAUCAAACA